rnacentral:rRNA from 1 species
AAAGAUUAAGCCAUGCAAGUGUCAGUACGAGCUGAAUUAAAGCGAGACCGCGAAUGGCUCAGUAAAUCAGUUACGGUUCAUUUGAUGAAUUUUAUGAAAGACUUGGAUAACUGUGGCAAUUCCAGAGCUAAUACAUGCAUUAAAGUCCCGACCUUGCGGAAAGGACGCUUUUAUUAGAAUACAGAACCAGACCGAGGUUUAGGCAGCAAUGUCUUUACCGAAAACUCCCAGUGGCGAAUCUGAGUAACAUUGAACAGAUCGCAUGGCCAUAGAGCGUGGCGACGCAUCAUCCAAACGCCUGCUCUAUCAACUAGGAUGGCCGACUAUACGUCUACCAUGGUGUUGACGGGUGACGGGGAAUCAGGGUUCGAUUCCGGAGAGGGAGCCUGAGAAACUGCUACCACAUCCAAGGAAGGCAGCAGGCGCGCAAAUUACCCACUCCCGGCACGGGGAGGUAGUGACGAAGUAUAACGAUACGGGACUCCCAUCCGAGGCCCCGUGAUCGGAAUGAGACCGGUUCAGAGAACUGGUGUGAGUAUCCAUUGGAGG